AGAAUCAACGCUGGCGGCGUGCCUAACACAUGCAAGUCGAACGAGAAAGGGGUAGCAAUACCCUGAGUAAAGUGGCGCACGGGUGAGUAACACGUGACUAACCUACCCUGGAGUGGGGGAUAACUGAGGGAAACCUUAGCUAAUACCGCAUAAUACCUACGGGUCAAAGGAGCAAUUCGCUUUGGGAGGGGGUCGCGGCCGAUUAGUUAGUUGGCGGGGUAAUGGCCCACCAAGACGAUGAUCGGUAUCCGGCCUGAGAGGGCGCACGGACACACUGGAACUGAAACACGGUCCAGACUCCUACGGGAGGCAGCAGUGGGGAAUUUGCGCAAUGGGGAAACCCUGACGCAGCAACGCCGCGUGGAGGAUGAAGUACUUCGGUACGUAAACUCCUUUCGAUCGGGACGAUUAUGACGGUACCGAGAGAAGAAGCCCGGCUAACUUCGCGCCAGCAGCCGC
rnacentral:rRNA from 1 species